AGUCCAUUACGCGGCGUCCACUGCUCUCUGGAAGCUGAAGUAGGUGGCGAGUUCUGCGCAGGGGCAUAUGGGACCGCCUGAUGAGCCGGAUUGUGGAGACAAAAGGCUGUGAAUACCUCAGCUGGCAGAGAGACAAGCAGGCUGAAGUCAAGAGGAGAAGAAGCAACUGAGCUGGAUACUAGGAGUAGGCGUGGCUUAACUUCAGAUAGCAGGACUUCGGAGAGGAGUCUGGUGGAGAUGGCCUGGCUUCAGGGAAAGAUCACCUUCUUCCCGCAGCAUCCCCUUUCCAGCUCCCCUUCUGCUGAGAGCUACUUCCACCGCUUAAUAAAAUCUCCACAUUCACUA